CUGGCUGUUAGGGAAAGGGGGUUCCCUGGUUUGAAAGCAUUGGUUUCCAGGCUUUUUACAAUCCUCACACAGCACCCAUAAGAGGCUGCUUCCAGUGUCGAUGUACAAAAAUAGUAUGUUUUGAUCGGCCUUGCAGGGAAAGUUGCAUCAAAUGCCCCGAUGCCAACUUGUACAAGGUAAUUGCCGAGAGGGUAAAAUUUGAGUUUCGGACAAUAUCAAGAGGGUUGAUUAUAGUUUGUGACACGUUAUUGUUGCCGAGGGAUGCCAGGGUAGCAUGCAGGUAUUGAGCUCGGGCAUUGGAUCGGUCUAUGAGUCUUUGGAUUUCUUCUUCAUAUGAAAUAUUGCCGGGAUAGAGAGGUGAUACCGGCGAGUCAACGUGGAUGAGUUCCAUGGUCAAGCCAUUUGGUUCGCCUGCGGCAUUAACACAAGCAAGCAAGAAGCUAAGUGAUAGGAAGCAAACAAGUACAUGUGAUGCAAUAUCGCUGCCAUUAUCUGCCUCGUGUUUUUCACAAUUCCUCAAAGUGUUUGCUGCUUUUAUAGUAUGGCCUUCGUUGGGGAAUUAAAUUUAGCCCAGUAUGGUAAUGGUAGCCUGCAUAUAUAUGUUGGUCUGUUAAGCCCUUCUAAUACUUUUCCAUAUGAACAGCUUCUUUACCUUAAAUUUCCCCAGGGGCUGGUUCUUUAAUUUUCUGUACUAAAUUGUCUCAUGCAUGCAUGUGCAAUGACAAUGAUGAGGGAAAGUAUUCACAACACAACUACAAUCCUCGGGUGCAGGCGCGAUGGUUCUUCUUGUCGAUGCUCACAAGAAGUGGGUUUUCAUUUUCAU
rnacentral:lncRNA from 1 species